UACGUAGGGCGCAAGCGUUGUCCGGAAUUAUUGGGCGUAAAGAGCUCGUAGGCGGUGUGUCGCGUCGGCCGUGAAAACCUGGGGCUUAACUCUGGGCGUGCGGUCGAUACGGGCAUCACUAGAGUUCGGCAGGGGAGACUGGAAUUCCUGGUGUAGCGGUGAAAUGCGUAGAGAUCAUGAGGAAGACCAGUGGCGAAGGCGGGUCUCUGGACAGUUCCUGACACUGAGGCACGAAGGCCAGGGGAGCAAACGGG
rnacentral:rRNA from 1 species